UGGCGGACGGGUGAGUAAUGCAUCGGAACGUGCCCAGUCGUGGGGGAUAACACAUCGAAAGAUGUGCUAAUACCGCAUACGUCCUGAGGGAGAAAGCGGGGGAAUCUUCGGAUCCUCGCGCGAUUGGAGCGGCCGAUGUCAGAUUAGCUAGUAGGUGGGGUAAAGGCCCACCUAGGCGACGAUCUGUAGCGGGUCUGAGAGGAUGAUCCGCCACACUGGGACUGAGACACGGCCCAGACUCCUACGGGAGGCAGCAGUGGGGAAUCUUCCGCAAUGGACGAAAGUCUGACGGAGCAACGCCGCGUGAGUGAAGAAGGCCUUCGGGUUGUAGAGCUCUUUCAGCCGGGAAGAAAGCGCACUCUCUAACAUAGGGUGUGGAUGACGGUACCAGAAGAAGAAGCACCGGCUAACUACGUGCCAGCAGCCGCGGUAAU
rnacentral:rRNA from 1 species